rnacentral:rRNA from 1 species
UUCAUUGGCGCGUGGGUGCGUGCAGUAUUUUGGAAGGGGUUUCCUCUCCAGGUGCUGUUGUGCGUUUGCUUGCUGGUGCCCUGUGUUGCGGUGAGACGUCAGAGUCAGUUCGUAUGCUGCGGGAAAUGGCUGUUAGGAAGGUAGGCUGCUUCGGUGGCUGUUAUAUCCUGGCGUGCUAGUCGUCGUGGUUGGGACUGAGGUGCCUACAACGUGCUUUUGAGUCUUUGGGACUCUCGUCUGGUCAUUUGCUCUGACAGCUUGCUGUGUUGGUGAAUGCAUUGGGCGAUUGAGAUCUAUCGUAACUUAUUGCCGUUCGGGACUUUGACGAAAUGGAGCGAUCCGUCCCGUCUUGAAACACGGACCAAGGAGUCUAACAUGUGUGCAAGUGUUAGGGUGUGGAAACCCCAGCGCGAAAUGAAAGUAAAGGGCAGCCUAGCUGCCUGAGGUAGGAAACCUUUGUUUACAGGGGUGGCACUAUCGACCGAUCAUGAGCCUACGUGGCGAAAGAUUUGAGUUUGAGCACAUAUGUUGGUACCCGAAAGAUGGUGAACUAUG